UCAUAUUUUCUCUCUCUCUCAAAAUAAAUAAACUUAAAAAAAAAAAAAAAAAGAGCUUAAAAAAAAAAGGUAACACCUGAGCUUGGUUGAGUACAUUUUCACUAGACAGAGAAACAGUGGUUCCCAAACUGAAGCAUGCGUUCAAAUUCCCUGGAGGACUUGUCAAAACUCAGAAUGCUGGUCCCCAUGCCCAGUGUAUCUGAUUCAGGAGGUCAAGGGUAAGGCCCAAGAAUUGGCAUUUCUAACAAGCCCCUGGAGGUGUAGCCACUGUGGUCCAGGGACCACACUUUGAGAACCACUGAGCUAGAUCAAGAAGAGGAGAAAGAGUGUGGCAGGAGGCAAGGGAACCCGCGCAGGGACUCGAGGGGUGAAAAGUAACAGAUGUUUAGAGAGUGAAGAGCAAAUCUGUGAGGCUCAGGCAUGGGGGGCUGCCAGGUGCAAAUGAUGAUGGACUCGUGUGCCAAGCCUCCACGUUUGGACUCGAUCCUGGAAGUGAAGGGCAGCCAAAGGAGGUUCUUGCAGAGGGAAGAACAUGAAGAGGUUGGCACUUCAGCAAGAUCACUUGGGAGGGCAGGUGGAGUGGGGAGGAGGGAAAGGAGGCAGAGGGACUAGUUUACAGGCUGUUACAACCAGCCUGUCAGAUCCCGUGAGCCUUGGUCUUACUGGCACCCAGGGUCCCGGCAGCAGAAAGUCCUCGUGUUCGUGUAAAAACAGCGCCACAGACAAGCUCUCGCCGAGUGGCGAGCAUCGUCUCAUCAAAUCCUCCUGACAGCCUGUGGUCAGAUGCCACAGUGGAAGCUGAGUUCAGAAGCCUGCCUAAGGGUAGGACAGAACCCCGAAGGUGAAGCCCCUUCUCUUUCUACCACUCCACUUUUCCCCACGUCUGCAUUUUUUAGGAGCCUGCCUCGGUCCUCCAGGGGCUUUGCGGCUGUGUGUCUUGCGAGCAUGUUGUGUUGUAAGUGCUGGACACUGUGAUGUAGUUGCCUGCCAAUCCCCUCCUGUCCCUGUUGCAACAAGGUAGCCUCUUUCUCAUCUCUCUUGCAGUGGACCUUGACUCCCCAGGAUCUGGGGCCACAUCUGGGAAUUCCUGCAGUCCCCAAGUGUCGUGAGUGGUCAUCACUCAGCAUGGUAGCUCUCCUUCACAUGCGGGUCUCCCUGAUGGAAUAGACUGUUGUCGAGGGUGGAGACACAGCUUAGAGGAGCUACUCCAGCAAGUGCUGGUAAAUGUCUGAAGGGAAGAAACUGUUUCUGGAUUUUGCUCGUCUACGUCUCCUCUCAGACUUCGCCCUUCUGAGCUGUCGUGUUCUAGUUGCCUUCUCCGAGCUGCUUGCGUUUGCUGGAUCUUGGAGAGGCCUCAAAACCACAUUCUGUAAGCAGGGUGUGUGCACGCAUGCAUGUAUAGAUGCACGAACAUGCAAUCCGGUUAUUCUAGUUACACAGCAUCACACUGAAAAAACCCCAGAGCACCAGGCUGUCCUCAUUUAUGAGCUUAAAAAUAACAACCCCUUCCAUUCA